UACGUAGGUGGCGAGCGUUGUCCGGAUUUACUGGGCGUAAAGAGCGCGCAGGCGGUCGUUCAAGUCGCGUGUGAAAGCCCCCGGCUCAACUGGGGAGGGUCACGCGAUACUGAUCGACUCGAAGGCAGGAGAGGGUAGUGGAAUUCCCGGUGUAGUGGUGAAAUGCGUAGAUAUCGGGAGGAACACCAGUGGCGAAGGCGAACUACCUGGCCUGUUCUUGACGCUGAGGCGCGAAAAGCUAGGGGAGCAAACGGGG
rnacentral:rRNA from 1 species